rfam:Coraliomargarita sp. CAG:312 genomic scaffold, scf86
GGUCGGGCCCCAUGCAAUUGAGGACGCGCAAACCCCGCCAGAUCCGGAAGGAAGCAACGGUAGCGACGAUCCCAAUGUGCCGUGGGUCGCCUGGCCCCC